AAAAGUGGCGUAAUAGUAGGUCAAGUGU
rnacentral:sRNA from 1 species